CCUACGGGAGGCAGCAGUGGGGAAUAUUGCACAAUGGGGGGAACCCUGAUGCAGCGACGCCGCGUGGGUGAAGGAGUACUUCGGUACGUAAAGCCCUAUCAGCAGGAAAGAAAAUUACGGUACCUGACUAAGACGCCCCGGCUAACUAGGUGACAGCAGCCGCGGUAAUACCUAGGGGGCAAGCGUUAUCCGGAUUUACUGGGUGUAAAGGGAGCGUAGACGGCAGUGCAAGUCCGGAGUGAAAGCCCGGGGCUCAAGCCUUGGACUGCGCGGGAAACUGCAAAGCUGGAGUGCGGGAGGGGCAGGAGGAAUUCCUGGUGUAGCGGUGAAAUGCGUAGAUAUCGGGAGGAACACCGGCGGCGAAGGCGGCCUGCUGGACCGUAACUGACGUUGAGGCUCGAAAGCGUGGGGAGCAAACAGGAUUAGAUACCCUUGUAGUC
rnacentral:rRNA from 1 species